rnacentral:rRNA from 1 species
GACGUAGGGCGCGAGCGUUGUCCGGAUUUAUUGGGCGUAAAGAGCUCGUAGGCGGCUUGUCGCGUCGACUGUGAAAACCCAUGGCUCAACCAUGCGGUCUGCAGUCGAUACGGGCAGGCUAGAAUUCGGUAGGGGAGACUGGAAUUCCUGGUGUAGCGGUGAAAUGCGCAGAUAUCAGGAGGAACACCGGUGGCGAAAGGCGG